GUGUGUUAUAUGUGGUCACACGGGACUGCCGGUCUUAAGCCGGAGGAAGGUGGGAUGAUGUCAAGUCAGCAUGGCUUUACUAUCCUGGGCUACACACACGCUACAAUGGCCAACACAAUAGGUUGCUAAGCCGCGAGGUGGCGCCAAUCCAAUAAAGUUGGUCUCAGUUCAGAUUGUAGGCUGCAACCCGCCUGCAUGAAGAUGGAGUUGCUAGUAACCGCAGGUCAGCUAUACUGCGGUGAAUACGUUCCCGGGGCUU
rnacentral:rRNA from 1 species